GCUUAAUAAAUUAAUGCCACGGAUAAAUCGAGAAAUACAGAGAAGAUUAGCAUGGCCCCGGCGCAAGGAUGACACGCACAAAUCGAGAAAUGGUCCAAAUUUUA
rfam:Spinacia oleracea cultivar SynViroflay scaffold80976.con0002.1, whole genome shotgun sequence.